rnacentral:rRNA from 1 species
GAUGAACGCUGGCGGCGUGCCUAAUACAUGCAAGUCGAGCGAACAGACGAGGAGCUUGCUCCUCUGACGUUAGCGGCGGACGGGUGAGUAACACGUGGAUAACCUACCUAUAAGACUGGGAUAGCUUCGGGAAACCGGAGCUAAUACCGGAUAAUAUAUUGAACCGCAUGGUUCAAUAGUGAAAGACGGUUUUGCUGUCACUUAUAGAUGGAUCCGCGCCGCAUUAGCUAGUUGGUAAGGUAACGGCUUACCAAGGCAACGAUGCGUAGCCGACCUGAGAGGGUGAGCGGCCACACUGGAACUGAGACACGGUCCAGACUCCUACGGGAGGCAGCAGUAGGGAAUCUUCCGCAAUGGGCGAAAGCCUGACGGAGCAACGCCGCGUGAGUGAUGAAGGUCUUCGGAUCGUAAAACUCUGUUAUUAGGGAAGAACAAAUGUGUAAGUAACUAUGCACGUCUUGACGGUACCUAAUCAGAAAGCCACGGCUAACUACGUG